UCUCCCCGCCGGCCGCCGCCACCUCUCUGCUGAGCUCUCUGCUUGUCUCCACCAGUUCUCCUCCUCCUACGCCGCUAACGCCGCCAUUAGGGGCCCGUCAAUCCUUCAUCCGCCCAUCCGGUACACAAUCACUUCUCUGCAUGCAUCCUUCCCGUCAUGCAACCUCUCAUGCGCCUCGGGGGACCUCUCGUCCUUUGGCUGCCCGCCCUGCGCCGCCGCUGCCGAGGGAAGAGCCUUCUCUUUCAUGCCCGUACUUGCGGACCGCAGCCGCGGCGUUCCUCAUCGUGGCCUCCCUUGCCUCUAGCCUCCGCCUCGAGCGUGCGGAACGCGCACGGCAUUGAGCAUCUUGUGGCGCGCCUACGCCGCAUGUCCUACGAGCGCCGCGGAGAUUGGUGAGCAGUCGCAGCCAAAAUCACAUCUUCCUAAUGGCGACCAGCGAGGAGCAUGCCUGGAUCAGCAUCUUCAAGGAAAUGCCAAGGAGAUUUAAGGACAAGCUGGUGGCGGGCGCUACGUGCUUUUCAACACUCCCUGAACCUCUGGCUGCCCUCAUCAAGCAGGAGGAGCUCACUGGGACCGUCACCAGGGCGCCAUGCUGUGCUCCUCAUUGACGAGGCCAGGGGCAUACUCACGGGCAUCUAAAGAGGACCGAUGCCCGUUCGACGUGCUUUGGCCGGCCGUCACAGUUACAGCUGCAGCCUGAAUGCGGAGGCAAAGAGCUAUCUUUUGGUGGCGAGGCUGGUGGAUGUGUACCUGGUGAGGUCUGUCUCCGCAGUGCAAGUUGCAGUUGUUUGAAAUUCAUUGGUCAUCUUGCAUUCCACACAAGCUGUCUGAUUCUGACAAUAUAUAUAUGCCUUGUCAUUCAGCUGCAACCAAAACACAGAACAUGUCUUCUAUUGUUUCUGCUUGUUUUGUUAAUUAACCUUCGAUUAUUUCACUCAACAUUUAUGUGAGAUCUGAAUUUCAUGGAGCUUCUUUGUUUCACCAUCGUCCUAUUCAGUUUCCCCCAUGGAAUAAAAUGUGUAGCACUGGUAGAAGAGUACAUAUGGGAGCGCCUCUGCCAUUUCAGAUUAGGACACGGUAUCACCAGGCUAACACCUUUUCAUCUUCCAUAGAUAUCAUCGGUGCAGAAUUUGUGAGUUCCUGGCUUCCUGCACUGUCAUGCUAAUCUAAGUUGCCACUUAUUUUGAUCCGAAUGCAGUGUGCUUUUUUAAGUUUUCUGAUGCAUAUUCUCUUCUUCGUUGCCAUUUCCAUGCCUUUGUACAUACCUUGUGUAUAUCCCUUCAUAUAAAGGAGUCCCGAAGGGCAGAAAUCAAUGAUAGAAUAUAGAUAUGCUGGCUUGUGCUGCUAGGACCAUAUUGAAUGUCCAGAACUCCACAUGUUUGCAGAUAAGAAUAUGGGAGGCCAACUUUCUAGGAUGGAAGCUUUACAGUUACACAUUUGGCUCAGGCCUUCAGGGGUAGUAAAUAAUUUCUGAGCAUGUAUGUGUUACUUGGUCAAUAGCUUCCAGAAGAUGCAGAUUGUGGAAAUUGCAAUUGUGGUAUAAAACACAUCGCCUAGAUCAUUGACUGGUUUUCUUGCUGCUUACAUCAGAGUAGUGACCCACUACUCGGCUUUCCAGUUAUUGACAAAGUGAUAAUCAAUCUUCAGGGGUCAUGGUUUCGUGGUAUCCACAACUUAGCUCUGUUGGUGUACUUUGCACUUAGCUUUCUAAAUUGCGAUACUGAUCAUCCAAAAUGUAUGU